rnacentral:rRNA from 1 species
AUGGAGGACGACCUGGUCGAGAGAAAGGAGGACCGGAAAGCCGUGGCGGCACUCAUGCGCGCCACGCCGCCGGAGAUGCACGGCAUGCUCGCGGCGAAGGCAAGCGCCAAGGAGGCGUGGGAAGCCAUCCGCACCCAGCGCCUCGGCAGCAACCGCGUGCGCGAGGCGAACGCGCAGAAGCUGCGGGCGGACUUCGAGAACAUCGCCUUCAAGGAGGGCGAGCUCGUUGACGACUUCGCCAUGCGGAUCUCCAGCGUUGUGUCACAACUCCGAGCGCUCGGAGACACCAUGGACGAUGCGAGAGUCGUGCGGAAAUUUCUCCGAGUCGUGCCAGCUCGCUUCGCUCAGGUAGCUUUCUCCAUCGAGACCUUGCUUGACCUGAGUGAGCUCUCCAUAGAGGAGCUCACGGGCCGGUUGCGGGUGGUCGAGGACCGCCUUGAGGACGACCGUGAGAGCUUCGGGGGAGAACAACUCCUGUUCUCGAAGAAGUGGGAGGCGAGGAAGCGUCAAGGACGUGGUGGGGGUACCCCAAGCAGUGGAGGCGGCACCGGCAGAAGCGGCGGUCGCACCCAGGGCGGAGCCGGACAAGGUGCCGGCAACGACGACCAGGACAAGUGCCGAUAUUGUAGCAUCAAGGGCCACUGGGCCCGUGAGUGCCGCAAGAGGAUGGCUUAG